rnacentral:rRNA from 1 species
UACGUAGGGGGCAAGCGUUGUCCGGAUUUAUUGGGCGUAAAGAGCGUGUAGGCGGCCAGGUAGGUCUGCUGUGAAAACUCGAGGCUUAACCUCGAGCUGUCGGCGGAAACCAUCUGGCUAGAGUCCGGAAGAGGAGAAUGGAAUUCCCGGUGUAGUGGUGAAAUGCGUAGAUAUCGGGAGGAACACCAGUGGCGAAGGCGACUUCCUGGCCUGUUCUUGACGCUGAGGCGCGAAAGCUAGGGUAGCAAACGGG